GACGAACGCUGGCGGCGUGCCUAAUACAUGCAAGUCGAGCGAAUGGAUUGAGAGCUUGCUCUUAUGAAGUUAGCGGCGGACGGGUGAGUAACACGUGGGUAACCUGCCCAUAAGACUGGGAUAACUCCGGGAAACCGGGGCUAAUACCGGAUAACAUUUUGAACCGCAUGGUUCGAAAUUGAAAGGCGGCUUCGGCUGUCACUUAUGGAUGGACCCGCGUCGCAUUAGCUAGUUGGUGAGGUAACGGCUCACCAAGGCAACGAUGCGUAGCCGACCUGGGAGGGUGAGCGGCCACACUGGGACUGAGACACGGCCCAGACUCCUACGGGAGGCAGCAGUAGGGAAUCUUCCGCAAUGGACGAAAGUCUGACGGAGCAACGCCGCGUGAGUGAUGAAGGCUUUCGGGUCGUAAAACUCUGUUGUUAGGGAAGAACAAGUGCUAGUUGAAUAAGCUGGCACCUUGACGGUACCUAACCAGAAAGCCACGGCUAACUACGUGCCAGCCGCCGCGGUAA
rnacentral:rRNA from 1 species